CAAGUAGUAUUUGGUUACAUGAGUAAGUUCUUUAGUGUUGAUUUGUGACUUGAUCAUUCAAUGACGAAGGGACAGCAAAGCUUUUGAAACAGAUGUCACAACUCAAAGGAAGCCUGAAUUAAGAAAGUGGUAUGGAAACUCAUUAUUUCUUUCCUUCACCCAUUUGUACCAACUAUACAAAAUACUGGCGCUACAAAGUUAAAAUAUUAAAAAUAAAACCCAGACAUAGUCCCUGCUAUAAUGAAACUUACAAACUAGCAAAGAUAGUAGUCAUUAAAUAAUUACAAAAUUUUAAACACAAUCAUAGUAUUUAAUUGGGGAGCUAUAAGGAAGAAACAGUUGCUGAGAAAGAAUGCCAGGGACAGCACUGAGGAACAUUUCAGAAAGAGGCACACAUAUGACACUUGGUGAUCAAUUGGAAGUGCAGCAAGGAGAAGAGAAGAUGGUUCCAGGAUUUCCAGCUUAUAUACUGGAUGGAUACUGGUGCUGUUAAGCACAGUGAUAGAAGAACAAAACAAGGAAUGGGAAAGCCACUUUAUGGCUAGUUUGCUUUGGAUCAGAAAGAGCUUUAAGCACCAACUGACAUCCAAGUGAAGUUCACCAGUUGCACCAGAAGGACUGCAGCUCAGGAGAGUCUGAGGUUGGAAAGAGAUUUGGGAAAAGACAGUGUCAAGGAUGAAUGGUGGGUAAAGUGUUAGUGGUACUCUUAUAACCUUUUUCCCACUACUAAUUUUCUAUAGUGAAAAUAGUAUUAAAUGCUCCCCACUGCCCCUCAGUAAUAAUGAAGAAAAGAAGAUACCUCCCAAUAGUCUAUUUUCACCUAAGUCCAUGCCAGAUAACUCUGAAAGGGGCAGUCAGUCCCCAGACCAGCAGCAUCAACAUCACCUGGAAUUUAUCAAUGCAAAGUUUAGGGCCCCACCCAGGACCUAUUAAAUUAGAAAUUCUGGGGGUGGGUACAGCAAUCUGUUUUAGAAAACCUCCAGGUAAUGCUGAUGCACUCUCAGGUCUAAGAGACACUGGGCUUGCCCAUUAUAAAAAUGUUAAACAUUUAAGAAAAUAACUAUCUCGUUUUAGCUGUUAGUUAUGUUUAGUGGAAAAACUAAAGGUUUCUGUUUGCCUGGAGGGUUCUCUCAUCCGUACUUUAAACAUGUGUAGAAUAUCUGAUCUAUGCAGAGUAGUGUGUUUGUUGAGGGAGACUAAGUGUAAGGCAUAAAUAUGGUCUCUGCCAUCGGGGAACUGUCAUCUGGUUGAGGAGACAAUAUACACAUCUGAAAAGUUAAACAAGUAGAUAAGUGGUACAGUUCAACAGAAGCAGCAGGUGAGGAUUUAAAGUGCUAAACAAUAAGGGCACUAAGAGCCACAAGCUAGGGGAAUAGUGGAAGGCAGGAGUUAGACCUAUGAUAAUCAGGCCUGACAGGGCUAAGUUUGAACUCUGUAUGAACUUUUAAUGAGAUAUAGCAGAACCCCUUAUUUGCAUCUCGUCCCUCUAAGAAGAGGUUUGCUGAGCUUCGGAAAUGGUUUAAUGAUACACUCAAGAUGGAAAAGACUUGAAGUGAGUAAAUUACAGUUGGGCAAAUCAGUAACUGUCAAAAGAAGGAACGUUCUUGACCUCGGCCCAAGGGUAUCGCUGUGCUCUGGUUUGCAUUAGCUUCAGCACCGCUGCAGUCUCACUGAAGCUUACUUUGUGCUCACCAUCAUCCUUUGGCCUUUCUUCUCUAACACAGUUCCUGUAUCCAGCCUCGUGCUUUGCUGUGCCUGUAACUGUCUUCUCCCCACAGAUAACCUGCCAUUGAAGUACGUGAAGAAAAUAGUCAAAUAUGUGCCCAUGGGGUUUCCUGAGUACUUCCUACAGGGUAUGCAGUCCACUCUGAAGAUCACAGCCUAGGACCAUAAGUAUGCGGUGAAUAUCUUAAAGACAAUAAAGCUCUAUCCACAGAAUUCUGAGGAUGGAGCUGAUGCUGGAAAAUCAGUAUUCUCUUAGGCAAUGUUACAUCAUCUCCUUAUAACUAUGCUACAUGCUCUCAGUAUUAUUUAUAUCAUCUUUCCUUCCCUUCCACCCAGCAGUCUCAUUUCAAGAGAUUUAACCUAAAAAGAUACAAGAACAGGUGCACAUAUAUAUAUGGACAAGGUUAUGCAUCACAGCAAUUUUUAAAACAGCAACAAAAAUAAUAGCAAUAUGGUUAAAUGUGUCAAUCAUAUAUUGGUCUAUAAAAGUAUGCUAUAUCAUUAGUCUAUAGACUAAUUGGGCUACAGACUAACCAUUAAAUGCUUUCCUUCAUGUGGCACUAUACUAAGUGUUAGGAAUUCAAUUGUGAAUAAGACAACAGACAUGGUCCCAGAUCUCCGGGAGUUUAUGUCUUAUGAGGAGAUGAAGACUGAACAAGGAUACACGCAUUCUUGUGCAGGGUAUUGUCAAUGAGAAAUACAGAGUGUUAAGAAUCUGUGUGACAGGCUGACCCAAGUUGAGGAGGGGUGGUCAAGGAAGACUUACUGUAGGAAUCAUCUUUAAAUUAGAAUCUUAAGAAUCAGAAGAAAUACUAGGUGAAGGGAGAGUGGGAAACAUUGCAGUUAGGACAAUGUAUACAAAUCAUUGACAUUGAAAAAAAGUAUGGUGGGUAUAAGAAAUAAAAUCCAGAAUGAGUAAUGGUGGACAGGGUACAGGUUUUGUAGGACUUUGUAAAGUAUGUUAAGGAUCUGUUGACAAAAGGAGUCAAACUCUAAAAUAUUUGAAGAUAAUAAUUUUGAGCCAAAUAUGAGUGACCAAUGGCCCAUGACACAGUGCUCAGGAGGUCCUGAGAACAUGUGCCCAAGGAGGUCAGGCUACAGCUGGACUUUAUACAUUUUAGGGAGACAUAAGACAUUAGUCAAUACAUAAAAGAUGUACAUAGGUUUGGUCCAGAAAGACCAAAAGUGGGGGUUUCCAGGUCAUCAGUAAAUUCAAAGAUCUGAUUGGCACUUGGUUAUUGUCUAAAAACUUUGAACCAAUAGAAAGGAAUGUCUGGGUCUUCAAGAUUAGGGGCUGUGGAGACCAAGGUUUUAUCAUGCAGAUAAAGUCUCCAGGUAUCAGGCCUCUGAGAUAAUAGAUUGUAAAUAUUUCUUACCAGACUUAAAGAAUCUGUUCUAUGAGUAAUUCCAAAAGGGUAGAGGAUAUAAUGAUGCAUGUCUGGCUCCCCCUUCACAUCAUGGCCUGAACUAGUUUUUUCAGGUUAACUUUGGAAUGCCCUUGGCUGAGAGGAAGGAUCCAUUCAGAUGAUUGCAUGGCUUAGAAUUUUAUUUUUGGUUUACAUUCUCUCCCUUCUGGCCAAUAUUUGCCAGAGGCAACAUCAGUGGUCACCAAACUUUUAUUUUGUCCCAUAGCAUUGCCAGGGUGGCAUGGCUGCCUGCCCCAGGUCCAUCCUGCCCCUCAGUUGAACCCCAAUGGCCAAGAGACUUAGUGCCAAAAGACUUAUAGCUAGAUUAAAUGUUCUAGGCUAGACAGGAAUGGACGUGGACAGGCAUUUAUUAACUCUUACAUUUUUUUUAAGUAAUAUAACAGCCAACAAACAAAAAGCCUAAAGCAAGGAUACAAAAUUGACUUACCUUUAACUUCUAUGCAUUGAACUAUUGUAAUCUCAGCUUUAGUUACAGACUUGUAGCAAUUAGCAUAAAAACAUAGCAUAAUAAAACAUAAGCAUUGGUAAAACCUUUUAAGCUAAGGAAUUUAGGGAUUUUGUUAUGUCACAAUGCUUUUUGCAGUCUUUUAGUAAUUUGUUCUAAGAUGGCUAAUAAAAUUUUUUUAAUAAAUAUAUACAUGUAUAUAUGCAUGAAUCACACAACUGGGAGUAUUAUACCCAGGAGACUUUGUCAUGAGGUAUCUUUAUAGCCUUUCAGUAAUAAUUUUAUUUUAAUUCUAUAGGAAGCAGUAAAUUGUUUAUAGUUGGGAUGGAUGAAAAGGUGCCACAUAGUAGCUCAGAAAGCAAAGUUCCUUAUUUUCCAGCUGUUUAGGCAUUUGUGUACCCAUCCUUGAUUUGCAGGGUCUGAACAAAUUCUAUUCCUCAAAACCGGCCCUUAAAAUCUCACAUGCCCACCACUUUUGCAGUAGUUUCUGGACCUGGAGGGAGAGUGCUUGUAUAGUUUUAGCAGCAGGAGAUUUGUAGUGAAAAACAGAUUGGGCCCAGUGGGAUUCCAAAUGAGGGUAAUUCAAAGGCUUUGUCAAAUCAUCUCUGGUCUUCAGAAUACCACAAUUCUGGUUUUCUUGGAAGGAGUAAAGCUGUGAGAGAUAAAUAACAUUAAUAAUUUGACAAUUAAAAAGAGAAUGUAUGUGUCAGAACAGAAAAAAUGACCUAUUCGAUUAGGGUGCUAACAAAAAACAUGGAGAAAAAUUAUAACCUGGUUCGUCUUUAGAGGAUUAUUAUAGCUAAAGAAUAACUCAUGAUUUAAUCUGCAAUCAAAAGAAAAGUCAGGGCUACAAUCUAGUAACAGGGGUUAUAGUUUUCCUUUAAAAUAAUUUUUCUUUCCAGCCCUCCUUUUCUACUAAGGAAAAGUUAUAGUAAGACCAGUUUGUGUGUAAAAUAAGUUUUAGGCUUAUUACACUUGGCCUGACUUUUCACAUAAAGUGCAGGAGGAAUUGAUUGGUCAUAUAGGCUAUUUUCAAGUUGGCUUUGCUGGAACCUUACCUAAAAAUACUUAUUCUAGCCAAAACCUUGGUAAAAUAACUAGUGUCUCCAAUUGUCUUAUUUUAAAAGAAAAUACUCUUACUAAAUUUAUGCAAAUAACUAUUGUCAUAAAAUCACAAGCAGUUUUUAAAUUUUGGAGAACUCAUAGAGAGAAAGGUACAUUUGUUCACAGAAACAUACUUUACCCAAUUGCUUUAAACUAUAACUAACUCGCUAAAUACCACAUGUUCUCACUUAUAAGUGGGAGCUGAAUAAUGAUAAUGUUAGUGACAAUGAGCCAUACCGGUCUAGAGCAACCUCUAUUCUUGCCUUCUCAGAAGAAAGAAUUCUACCGAGGAGGCAUAAGGCAGAAGGAGAGAUCAAGGCAAGUUUUAGAGCACAAAUGAAAGUUGACUAAAAAGCUUUAGAGCGGGGACAAAAGAAAGUACACUUGGGAGAGGGCCAAGCCAGCAACAUGAAGAACAGGUGUGUGGUUUGACGUUUUGACUUGGGGUUUUAUAUGAUGGCAUGCUUCUGGGGUCUUGCAUCCCUUCUCCCCUGAUUCUUCCCUUGGGGUGGGCUGUCUGCGUGCUCAGUGGCCUGCCAAAACUUGGGAGGUGAGCAUGCAGAGUGUAUUUACUGGAAUUGUUUGCAUGUUCUCUUGAGGCAUUUUUCCCUUACCAGUGAAAUGUCCCUAGAAAUUCAUAUAGAAUGUCAUAUACCAGUUAAGCUCCACAAUUUUUGCCUCUUACUGUGCAUGCUUGAGCUCACUAGCCCAACUACUGAGAUCUUAUCAGGAAGCUGCUGAUGGCCAGUUUCAGGCGUUUUUAUCUAUUGGGAGACUGCCUUUCCCUGGCCCUGGCUGUGACCAAUUACUAUUGUUGAGACACAGUUUAAUAACCUCCUGACCAUCACCUGAUAGUUGCCAGACAAUCCUGGUGGUGGGGGGGGGAGCUUGCCUAGCCUGCUCGUGUCAGACUAGCUACUUACUAUAACAAGAACACAUGGACACAUAGAGGGAAGCAACACACACUGGGGCCUAUCAAAGGGUGGAGAGUGGGAGGAGGGAGAUGAUCAGGAAAAAUAACUAAUGGGUACUAGUCUGGGUGAUGAAAUAAUCUGUAUAACAAACCCCCAUGACACAAAUUUCCCUAUGUAACAAACCUGCACAUGUACCCCUGAACUUAAAAUGAAAGUUAAAAAAAAAUUUACUCAUGUCUGUAAUCCCAGCACUUUGGGAGGCCGAGGCAGGCAGAUCACUUGAGCUCAGGAGUUCAAGACCACCCUGGAAAACAUGGCAAAACCCUUUCUUUAC